CGAUCCAAGGCGGUGCUUACCAUGCAGUCGAGCGGAGUGAUGGUGCUUGCACUAUCACUUAGCGGCGGACGGGUGAGUAAUGCUUAGGAAUCUGCCUAUUAGUGGGGGACAACAUUUCGAAAGGAAUGCUAAUACCGCAUACGUCCUACGGGAGAAAGCAGGGGAUCUUCGGACCUUGCGCUAAUAGAUGAGCCUAAGUCGGAUUAGCUAGUUGGUGGGGUAAAGGCCUACCAAGGCGACGAUCUGUAGCGGGUCUGAGAGGAUGAUCCGCCACACUGGGACUGAGACACGGCCCAGACUCCUACGGGAGGCAGCAGUGGGGAAUAUUGGACAAUGGGCGCAAGCCUGAUCCAGCCAUGCCGCGUGUGUGAAGAAGGCCUUAUGGUUGUAAAGCACUUUAAGCGAGGAGGAGGCUACUGAAGUUAAUACCUUCAGAUAGUGGACGUUACUCGCAGAAUAAGCACCGGCUAACUCUGUGCCAGCAGCCGCGGUAAUACAGAGGGUGCAAGCGUUAAUCGGAUUUACUGGGCGUAAAGCGCGCGUAGGCGGCUAAUUAAGUCAAAUGUGAAAUCCCCGAUCUUAACUUGGGAAUUGCAUUCGAUACUGGUUAGCUAGAGUGUGGGAGAGGAUGGUAGAAUUCCGGGUGUAGCGGUGAAAUGCGUAGAGAUCUGGAGGAAUACCGAUGGCGAGGGCAGCCAUCUGGCCUAACACUGACGCUGAGGUGCGAAAGCAUGGGGAGCAAACAGGAUUAGAUACCCUGGUAGUCCAUGCCGUAAACGAUGUCUACUAGCCGUUGGGGCCUUUGAGGCUUUAGUGGCGCAGCUAACGCGAUAAGUAGACCGCCUGGGGAGUACGGUCGCAAGACUAAAACUCAAAUGAAUUGACGGGGGCCGCGCACAGCGGUGGAGCAUGUGGU
rnacentral:rRNA from 1 species